UUGACUUUGGAUUUCCGUCUCUGGCGGCGGCGGGUACAGCUUCCGCUAGCUCCGGGAUGAAGCGCCACUAAUCCUGCAUCCCCAGACAGCAUCCCUUUCCUAGUCGAGUUGUUAUUCAGGUCUCUGUAUGGGGAACAGCCACAGAUCACAAGGGUGGAAUGCAGAUGGCUAAUUGGGAGUGUCGACUGAGAAAAUGCACAACCUAAAAGUUGAGAAUUAUGUUUUAUUCAGCGGACAUACUGAGGACUUAAGCCCGGAGACAGCCUCUCACGUAGCUCGGAGGGAUUUCUCCAAAGAGCUGCUUGAAUCUGCCCCGUGGAACUCAGGGAAGGUUAUGGCGGCUGAGUGAAGCCUGUUUCCUGGAAUCAAAGAAAUGGGGGACACAGACUUCAUGCCCAGGAGCCCCACAGGGCCCUGCUCGGUAUCAUUAUCUGUUGGGACUUCCCCGCAGGGCCCAAGAGGAACCAGUGGGCAUCCCUCCUGAGUAUACGGACCUUCCACCCGCCGGCGCAGGCCAGCAUCCCGUGCGGCCUGGACCCCCAUGCGGUCACUGAUGGGAGGCCUGGGCCAAGCUCUUCUGAACGGCGAGCUACCAACAUGCAGAUGGCGUUGGGGAGUGAGAGAUGACCUUGCAGCGGAGGUGGGCUAGAGACCGCAGCCCCCCGGCCCUGGGUGCGUUCCCGCCUCUGCCUGGAGGGGCCUCGGCUGGUGGCCAGCUUGCCACCUCUGGGUGCAGCCACGAGCUUGAAGCCCGGUGUCUGAACGGCCACAGGGACUGGGACGUCUUUGAGGAAUCACAGAGAGAAGGAUGUCCAAGCUACAGGAGCCUUCAGCUAGGAAAUAAGGCUCCGAGAAAGGUGGUACUUGGACAACUGGACAAACCAGACACGGGGCUAGUUCCUGACCUUCAAACUUCUGCUCUCUGAGAGUUCCUCAAACUGGGGUCCCCUGGGUCUGCUUGGGAGUCCAGGAAUUCUUUACAAAGAAGACUUUUAAUUGGGUGUUUGUAACCUGAGAAAAAUCUAAAAGGAAGACGAUUUGCAUAUUCUGGCUCAUCCUGAGAAACCUCUAAUAAGUGGGGACAGCCAUGCGCUGUCUGGGGCCCAAAUCACGUGGGGCUCUUUGAACUACUGCAGGCUGGUGAGAGAAGGAC